rnacentral:snRNA from 1 species
UCGCAGCGGUCGCCGCAUUCCGCAUCAAUCUUUCGCCUUUUACUAAAGAUUGCCGUGCGGCGUCCGCAUUCAAUGCAACUUGUUCAUUUUUUUUCUGGCGCUCCGGCGCCUA